UCGGGUGUGUAAGCGCAGCGAUGCGUUGAGCUAACCGAUACUAAUGAACCGUGAGGCUUAACCUUACAACGCCGAAG
rnacentral:rRNA from 8 species